GACGAACGCUGGCGGCGUGCUUAACACAUGCAAGUCGAGCGGUAAGGCCCUUUCGGGGGUACACGAGCGGCGAACGGGUGAGUAACACGUGGGUGACCUGCCUUUAGCUCUGGGAUAAGCCUGGGAAACUGGGUCUAAUACCGGAUAUGACCCUAUGGCGCAUGUUGCGGGGUGGAAAGCCUUGUGCGGCUAGGGAUGGGCCCGCGGCCUAUCAGCUUGUUGGUGGGGUGAUGGCCACCAAGGCGACGACGGGUAGCCGGCCUGAGAGGGCGACCGGCCACACUGGGACUGAGACACGGCCCAGACUCCUACGGGAGGCAGCAGUGGGGAAUCUUGCGCAAUGGGCGAAAGCCUGACGCAGCGACGCCGCGUGAGGGAUGACGGCCUGG
rnacentral:rRNA from 1 species